rnacentral:rRNA from 1 species
AAUUUUGGACAAUGGGCGCAAGCCGGAUCCAGUCAUGCCGCGUGAGUGUAUAAGGCCUUCUGGACGUAAAGCCUUUACGGACGGAAAGAAAUCACGGAAGCAAAUACGCUACAAGGCUGACGGUACCGGCAUAAGAAGCACCGGCUAACUACGGGCCAGCAGCCGCGGUAAUACGUAGGGUGCGAACGUUAAUCGGAAUUACUGGGCGUAAAGCGUGCGCAGGCGGUUGAUUAAGACCGGCGUGAAAUCCCCGGGCUUAACCUGGGCACGGCGCUUGUGACUGGUAAGCUAGAGUACGGCAGAGGGGGGUGGAAUUCCACGUGUAGCAGUGAAAUGCGUAGAGAUGUGGAGGAACACCGAUGGCGAAGGCAGCCCCCUGGGCCGAUACUGACGCUCAUGCACGAAAGCGUGGGUAGCAAACAGG